AGAGUUUGAUCCUGGCUUAGAACGAACGCUGGCGGCAUGGAUUAGGCAUGCAAGUCGAACGAAGCAGCAAUGCUUAGUGGCGCAAGGGUGAGGAACACGUGAGUGACCUACCCGCAAGUUUGGAACAGCUCCUGGAAACGGGAAUUAAUACCGGAUGUGAUCAUGAAGCUGCAUGGUUUCAUGAUUAAAGCAGUAAUGCGCUUGCGGAUGGGCUCGCGUCCCAUUAGCUAGUUGGUGAGGUAACGGCCCACCAAGGCCAUGAUGGGUAGCUGGUCUGAGAGGACGACCAGCCACACUGGGACUGAGAACUGCCCAGACUCCUACGGGAGGCUGCAGUCGAGAAUUUUGGGCAAUGGACGAAAGUCUGAACCCCCAGCAAUGCCGCGUGCGGGAUGAAGGUCUUCGGAUUGUAAACCGCUGUUUGGAGGGCGAAAAUUGACGGUACUUCCAGAGGAAGCCACGGCUAACUACGUGCCAGCAGCGGC
rnacentral:rRNA from 1 species